rnacentral:rRNA from 1 species
UACGUAGGGGGCGAGCGUUGUCCGGAAUUACUGGGUGUAAAGGGAGCGUAGGCGGGAAGGCAAGUUGGAUGUGAAAACUAUGGGCUCAACCCAUAACGUGCAUUCAAAACUGUUUUUCUUGAGUGAAGUAGAGGCAAGUGGAAUUCCUAGUGUAGCGGUGGAAUGCGUAGAUAUUAGGAGGAACACCAGUGGCGAAGGCGACUUGCUGGGCUUUAACUGACGCUGAUGCUCGAAAGUGUGGGGAUCAAACAGGAUUAGAUACCCCUGUAGUCCCUGA